CCCUACUAUUUUUCUAAAAUACUACUGAUCGAGUGGGAGUUUAAUGAUCAGCUGUUACAACAAAUUAUUCUCUCUUUUCUAGAGAACCAGAUCGAAGGUUAUCAGAAAUCACAGCAUUAUUCAGUAAAUUUAUUAUUGAAAAAUUGAUAAAAGAUACUGUCUGCUUGGAUGCUGACCAGAUAAACAAUUAAUUCAGUGGCAUUACAUGUUGUAAAGU
rnacentral:lncRNA from 1 species